AAACAGGAUGACCAACGGUCACCACCAAGAUCUGUGGGUGUAUGUAUGUAUGUAUGUAUGUAUGUAUGUAUGUACCGCAGUGGGUGGGUAGACUGACC
rnacentral:snoRNA from 1 species